rnacentral:lncRNA from 10 species
GGCAUAUAAGUAAAUAUAAUUCAUCAUUUUCCUAGCAACUCACACCUUAGGAUUGAUUACUUUGCUUUGCAAUAACUAUGAAGAAGAAAUACAGGCUUGUUAUGGUUUGAAUGCAUCCUCUCCAAAAUUUAGGUUUUGCCCACAUUGCAGUAUUAAGAGAUGAUUAGACCAUAAGGGGUUUUCCCUUGUUAAUGGGAUCAAGACUCUUAUAAUUGAAGCUUUAGACAACAUUCAUUUAGCUUGCCCUUCUGCCACUUGUCAAGUGAUGAUGCCACAAGAAGGCCCUCACAAGACCAGAAGCUGGUGCCUUGAUCUUGAAUUUAACAGCCUCUAGAAUUGUUAAAUAAAUUGAGAAAUAAAUUUUUGGUUUUUAUUAGUGA